rnacentral:misc_RNA from 1 species
GAUGAAGAACGCAGCGAAAUGCGAUAAGUAAUGUGAAUUGCAGAAUUCAGUGAAUCAUCGAAUCUUUGAACGCACAUUGCGCCCGCCAGUAUUCUGGCGGGCAUGCCUGUUCAAGCGUCAUUACAACCCUCAGGCCCCCGGGCCUGGCGUUGGGGAUCGGCGGAGCCCCCCGUGGGCACACGCCGUCCCCCAAAUGCAGUGGCGGUCCCGCCGCAGCUUCCAUCGCGUAGUAGCUAACACCUCGCGACUGGAGAGCGGCGCGGCCACGCCGUAAAACACCCAACUCUUCUGAAGUUGACCUCGAAUCAGGUAGGAAUACCCGCUGAACUUAAGCAUAUCAAUAAGCGGAGGA